rnacentral:misc_RNA from 1 species
UCAACCAACCAUGGUAAGCUUGAUCGCUAUUAAUUCCUUUUUGAAACUCAUUUGUUUGUCAUCACUGCCAUUUUGUGUCUACUCAUGUAAUGGAAGGGACUUUGCAGAGUCAAUCAAGCCUGGGAAGUCUAAUCUAAUUUUAAUGUCCACAUGUAAGCUCAAAGAAACAUUUGAUCUUAUUUUUAUUAAAAUUUGGUAAUUGAACAGGGUUGA